rnacentral:tRNA from 1 species
CAAGAUGUAGCUAAAGAUUUUAAAGCGUUUCACUUACAAUGAAGAGGUAACAAUUAGAGUUCAUUUUGA